GUGGGGAAUAUUGGGCAAUGGGGGAAACCCUGACCCAGCGACGCCGCGUGAGGGAAGAAGGUCUUCGGAUUGUAAACCUUUGUCAACAGGGACGAAACAAAUGACGGUACCUGAAGAGGAAGCCACGGCUAACUACGUGCCAGCAGCCGCGGUAAUACGUAGGUGGCGAGCGUUAUCCGGAUUUACUGGGUGUAAAGGGUGUGUAGGCGGGAUGACAAGUCAGAUGUGAAAGACCGUGGCUUAACUACGGCACUGCAUCAGAAACUGUUAUUCUUGAGUGUGGGAGAGGUAAGCGGAAUUCCUGGUGUAGCGGUGAAAUGCGUAGAUAUCAGGAGGAACACCGGUGGCGAAGGCGGCUUACUGGACCACAACUGACGCUGAUACACGAAAGCGUGGGGAGCAAACAGGAUUAGAAACCCUGGUAGUCC
rnacentral:rRNA from 1 species